GCUUUGUCUAUUUUCUUUCUUAUGCAUAAAAUAAGUAUAUAUUCCCAAGUAUCUUCUAGUUCCCUAUGCAUUUAUAUAUCUUGUUCCCUGUGUGAACUUGUAUUGGUUUCCUUUUUGGUUCAUUUCAGGCCUUCUCAGGGACAACCAGGAGAAGACGAAGAUGAAAUUACAAAACCCAGAAGGCUGAAAGAGGAAGUCAGUCAGUCAGUCUACAGUCAUUACAAAACCCUGAAGACAAGACUGGAGGAGGAAGUCAGUCUAGUGUCAUCCCAAGAGGAGGCGGCCUGAGGUGCCAGGAGAACUCGAGUCCUACGCAACCGAGUGGUAGAGUGGUCCCGACUCCUUGGCAGCAUAUCUCGAUAUUCUCCAGCAUCUCCCCGAGGCAAAGCCACUCCUUGAUCUAAGGCAUUCUCCAAUGCACUCCUUUGCAGCUUCAAAAGUUUCACAUUUGAAUGCAUCCCACAAAUCUACAGAGUCCUCAAGGGUGCUGAGCACAAUUAACCAAUUUAAGACUGCCACUGCACACAGGCUUCCCUUGCAUUGCAACGGUCAGCCACGUCAUCACUCACUUCCUUGCACACAAUGUCCUGCUCCGUCUGGUUGCGCUCAAGGUCCUCGAGAACCCUGCAGAGAAAAGACUUGCCUCACCUUAUGCAACAGUGAGUGGGUACUGGACACCCGACAUCCGUGGUGCCUCAGUAUGAUCAGCGGGCCAUCGUGAGAAAUAUGUCGGAAGGUGAAACCUAUCUGGAGGACAAAAUGCUCCUCUGGAAAAAGUUGGGAGGAACAACUGAUACUUGUACAGCAAGGGGAGCAACGGAGCACUUCUCAACCCCUUGACUGUGGAUUUCCUGCCAGAAGACAUCACCAGGAUACAGAAAUGGAACAAA